rnacentral:rRNA from 1 species
UGGGGAAUAUUGCACAAUGGGCGAAAGCCUGAUGCAGCGACGCCGCGUGAGGGAUGACGGCCUUCGGGUUGUAAACCUCUUUCAGUAGGGACGAAGCGCACGUGACGGUACCUGCAGAAGAAGCACCGGCUAACUACGUGCCAGCAGCCGCGGUAAUACGUAGGGUGCGAGCGUUGUCCGGAAUUACUGGGCGUAAAGAGCUCGUAGGCGGUUUGUCACGUCGUCUGUGAAAUCCUAGGGCUUAACCCUGGACGUGCAGGCGAUACGGGAUGAGUUGAGUAGUACAGGGGAGACUGGAAUUUCUGGUGUAGCGGUGGAAUGCACAGAUAUCAGGAAGAGCACCGAUGGCGAAGGGAGGUCUCUGGGUAGUAACUGACGCUGAGGAGCGAAAGCAUGGGUAGCGAACAGG